UUGAAAUAAAGCAGCACUAAGAUUAUGUUUGAUUAAUUGAUUUUAUUUACGGUUUAUUUUUAUACUUAAGGAGCAUUUCCAAACUAAUUGUUCAAGGGUUCAAAUCCGGCGACUGCCUACUAGCUCUUAAACAUGACAAGUGUACACCCUAUUGAUUCAGGUGCACACCCUACUUAUUCUAUGAAAAAAAAAAAAAAAACCGUCAUGUGACUUUGUGUUACAGAGACCAUUCUCGGAUUUUUCAACACUGCGCUUGGGAUUGUUCUUCUUCUCUACUACAGUGGUUUGGAUAGUUGUCACGACUUUUGUCAUGUCAGGCUUGGUGAAGGAAUUUGGGUUGGAUGUUUGACAUUCGUUGCUGGCAUUCUCGGAAUUACUGCAUCCAGCAACAAAUCUAAAAAGGGCCUCAUACGCUCACAUUUCGUUUUCGCGGUGUUAGCAACCAUAUUCUUAGUGCCGCAAGUUAUAAUCGCUGCUGUUUGGGCGAAACAUACGGUUGCAUUCUACUCAAUAAUAUCGAUUAUCGUUGCCGUAUUCGGGUUCAUCUCCCUCGUUUUCUGCAUUGUCAGCGCCUGUUACUGCGGCCCAUUACAUCUCGCUUAUUACGCAGGAAAGCCUCUUACAUUUACAAUUCAUUGCUGUGAGGAGGUAUAGCAGAUUUAAUAUAACACGUGCAUAUGGUUGUAUAGGUCAUAUGUGGUUUUAUUUACAUUUAUACCAAAAUGUUUAAGUAAGAUUUUUAAGACUGCGUUUUCCUACCAUAUUCCUUUUAUGUUGAUAAGCACAUAAUAAUACAAGUUUACCAUAAAAACCUCACAUAAACUUUAUUGAGUUUAUUAAUUCUAUGCUUACUUUUGAACUGUGCAUCAGGUGGAGGCACCAUCAGCCAUUAAUACGCAGAAACAAACACCAGUCGAGAUGGAUGGUAUAUAUCACAUUCAUUAUUCAUGCGCACUUACUUAACACAAAUUUGUAGUAAAUAGGAAUGUAAGCGAUUUUGAUCAGAUGAAAUCUCAAAAAAGUCGUCCUGUUACAAGCCCUAAUACCUUCGAGCAAACCCCGACAAAUUUAGCGGUAAAAUUUUCACAUCAGCGGUCCAAAACAAGCCAGCAUCAACGGCCUAGGGCUGUGACAAGUCCCAAACUACCGGCAUCUCCGAACAAAGGGCGAUAAACGUCAAUAUUUCUGGGAACAACAAAUAAAAUAUUCUUCAUCGG